AUUGAACGCUGGCGGCAGGCCUAACACAUGCAAGUCGAGCGGAUGAAGGGAGCUUGCUCCUGGAUUCAGCGGCGGACGGGUGAGUAAUGCCUAGGAAUCUGCCUGGUAGUGGGGGAUAACGUCCGGAAACGGGCGCUAAUACCGCAUACGUCCUGAGGGAGAAAGUGGGGGAUCUUCGGACCUCACGCUAUCAGACGAGCCGAGGUCGGAUUAGCUAGUUGGUGGGGUAAAGGCCUACCAAGGCGACGAUCCGUCACUGGUCUGAGAGGAUGAGAAGUAACAAUGGAACAGAGAGAAGGUCCAGACUAAUACGGGAGGCAGCAGUGGGGAAGAUUGGACAAGGGGAGCAAGACUGAUACAGCAAUACAGAGGGGGGGAAGAAGGCAUUCGGGUUGUAAAGUCGUUUUGGUGGGAAAGAAAAGCAGCAGGUGAAUAACCAGCUGUUCUGACGGUACCCAAAGAAUAAGGACCGGCUAAGUUCGUG
rnacentral:rRNA from 1 species